rnacentral:rRNA from 1 species
UGGGGAAUAUUGGACAAUGGGCGAAAGCCUGAUCCGGCCAUGCCGCGUGUGUGAAGAAGGUCUUCGGAUUGUAAAGCACUUUAAGUUGGGAGGAAGGGCAUUAACCUAAUACGUUAGUGUUUUGACGUUACCGCCAAAAUAAGCACCGGCUAACUCUGUGCCAGCAGCCGCGGUAAUACAGAGGGUGCAACCGUUAAUCGGAAUUACUGGGCGUAAAGCGCGCGUAGGUGGUUUGUUAAGUUGGAUGUGAAAUCCCCGGGCUCAACCUGGGAACUGCAUUCAAAACUGACUGACUAGAGUAUGGUAGAGGGUGGUGGAAUUUCCUGUGUAGCGGUGAAAUGCGUAGAUAUAGGAAGGAACACCAGUGGCGAAGGCGACCACCUGGACUAAUACUGACACUGAGGUGCGAAAGCGUGGGGAGCAAACA